CCGUCCUCCACGCCUCACAGUAGUUGGUGGUCAGACGAGUGCCUACGGCGUUGGAGCCGUGCCACACCAUCUUCUCUGGCCUGUGGGGGAGAGGGAGACGCAAAUGUGACCAAAUUCGAGGGCUGUGUUCUUCCUGGGCUGCAUUUGUAAGCUGCUUACGUCACAGCCCCGCAACAAGUGCUGUCCAAACUCAACCACUACUACAAAUACGGCCUUCUUUUUCCCGAUUUCAAUGAUUGGCCUGGUGUCCAUAUCCCUAGAUGCAUUGCGGCCGAAGCCGGAGAUUUUCUGACAACGAUGGCGGACUGUGAAGCGGGACCCAGAGUUGGAAAUAAUUACACCUUUUUGUAAUUACACCUCCAAGAUCUGCUGAGAGCCUGAGACGACUCUGAUGCUGCUGCUGCUGAUGCUGAUGAUGGUCCAUAGUGGAUCAGCUCUCCCAGCUGAAAGAAAGGCCAGACAAGCACCUUUUCUUGAUUUGCCUGAAGGAUUGUUUCUAAUAUUGUAGCAUAAAAGACGCAAACAGCAACUGCUGCAUGCUAAACACUGUAUGCCGUGCUUUGGGUUAAAGGAUUGUCACCAAUUAAUGAUUCCAAUCUUAAAUUUGAUUGUGUCAAUAAACUUUUGGGGGAAAUUGUUCCUGUCAUUUCUGAUCUCUCAUUCCCCCAAAAAAACGCAUGUAUGAGGUGAACAAUAGAAUGUACUUGAUCAGCACAAUUCCAUGAAUAUUUUAAAUCUCACAAAUGUAAAACUUUUUAAUUUUUCUGUUGUGAUUUUUUUCACAUCAAAGUCGUAAAUGUUUUUAAAAUUAAAAGGUAAACAAAAGAUAUAAAUAUAAAGGACACAGAUCCUAAAUUUGCAAAAUUUUAAAAAUGGGGUGCUUAAAAAAUACACUUUUAAUCAAGCUUAUGGCUAAUUUAUGACAUACAACUGAAGAAGACGUGUAUGGAUGCUCCAGCAAAAGGAUUACAAACCGGGAUUUUGCGCCAACCGUUGCGCGCUCUGAUGUACAGCUCGCCAUUCUUCUCAGACACAUACGCCAAAGUUCCCUCUGCAGUGCUGUGUGUCUCUCUGAGCAUCUCACCGGGCUGGCAUGACCCGGAGUUCCUGGUGGACCGGGGGGACCGGGAGGGCCCGGGACACUGAUUGCAGCUGGUAACAACACAUAGGCGGCGACUGGACCUGGAGGCCCUGCAGGGCCAGGAGAACCCCGUGGUCCAGGUCGUCCAAUCCCAGGAGCUCCAGGCAAACCAGGGGAACCUGCUGGCCCUGGAGGUCCAACGA